ensembl:lncRNA
UAAUAAUAAUAAUAAUAGUAAUAAUCCUCACAGCGCCCUCAGCAGGUCAGUUAAGAGAAAAACACAUUUCACUAAACAGAAAUCUCAGUGUGGAAGUGCUUUACUGCCAUCUUGUGGAUACUAAAUUUAAUGUCUGUAAUAAAAAUAAUAAUUAAAUAAUCCUUUACAUUUAAUUACUCAUGUUUUUAAUCCUGAAACCCAGACUAAAUGCUUGUGUAUUUAAAAAAUAAUAUCUAAUAGGAAGUGACAUGGUAAGAAUUAUUUCAAAAUUGUCAAAAUUGUCUAAUAUUCCUUAAAAUUAUUAAUAAAUAAAUGUUCUAAAUGUUAUAAAAGUCUAGAAAUGAUUUAAAUCAUGAUAUAAUGUUGUAAUAAAGUAAUGAUAAAUAUUAAGCGUGUGUGUGUGUGUGUGUGUGUAUGUGUGUGUGUGUGUCAGUGUGUGUGUGUGUGUGUGUGUGUGUGUGUGUGUGUGUGUAGCUGAUGUAGUUGUAGUGUGCUGCAGUGGUUUAUCAGUGUGUGUGUGUGUGUGUGUGUGUGUGUGUGUGUGUGG